AUUGAACGCUAGCGGGAUGCUUUACACAUGCAAGUCGAACGAGUGGCGGACGGGUGCGUAAUAUAUCGGAACGUGCCCAGUAGCGGGGGAUAACUACUCGAAAGAGUGGCUAAUACAGCAUACUAUUGGAGCGGCCGAUAGCGGAUUAGCUAGUUGGUGGGGUAAAGGCUCACCAAGGCAACGAUCCAUAGCUGGUUUGAGAGGACGACCAGCCACAAGUGGACUGAGACACGGCCCAGACUCCUACAGAAGGCAGCAGUGGGGAAUGUUGGACAAUGGGGGAAACCCUGAUCCAGCCAUCCCGCGUGUAUGAGAAGGCCUUCGGGUUGUAAAGUACUUUUGGCAGAGAAGCGGUAUCUGCAGAAUAAGCACCGGCUAACUACGUGCCAGCAGCCGCGGUAAUUC
rnacentral:rRNA from 1 species